GAAAGGUAUAUUCUAUCAUCAUCCUCCAGGCAAAUUACAAAUUCAGCCAUGCAGGAAGUUCCAUCCAAUCAAGAAGGUCCAGGCUUCUUCACUUGAAGGAGAACCCUAGCAGUACAAAAAUGUUCCUCCUGCUCCAGCAGUAAAGAUAAAACAAAGCAGGUAACAACUUACUUGGUCGGGAUCUCCAGAUACCUUUGAAAGUUGGAGUAGUUCCACAAGAAGGAAGGAUGAAGGUCAAAUUGUUUACUUUAUCCACACAAGAUGAACAGCUGAUUAUUCCCACAGUGUAGGCCCGAACAGGUAGCCAGGAUAAAAUGAACUUUACGCCCAUUCUAAUUAAUCUCCUUCCAGGCAUUAAACCAGCAAAAGUACCCCAGCACCCCCUUACAAAGACCAAAAGGUAUGGGCUAAAACCCAUAAUAACUGAACUGUGACAUGAUAAUAUACUAGAGCCAUGUACUUCCCCAUACAACAUCCCAUUCUUGCUAUUAAAAAGCCUGACAAUAGCUACAGGCUAGUUCAAGACCUACGUGAAGUAAAUAAAAGAGUGCAAGCUCUGUGCCUGUUAGUACAAAACCCUUACACCUUGUUAAGUUAUCACCUACGCACUCUUGGUUCUCAGUAACUGACCUGAAGGAUGCAUUUUGGUCAUGCCCUGUAGAUUCUCCUUCUAGACACCUGUUUGCCUUCACCUGGGAAGAUCCAGACACUGGAAGGAAACAGCAGCUCACCUGGACCUGGCGACCGCAAGGGUACAUGGAGUCUCCCACACUCUUCGGUCAGGCCUUGAAGAGCCUGUUCAUUUCCUUUUCUCCACCCUCAGGAAUACAAGUAACACAGAGAAACAACAUGAAUAGAACCAAGGCCAGUUCCAGGCAGGACUUUCCUGCAUUUAGGUCCCUUCCUGCAUCCAGGUACACUCCCAUGACAACCAAGGGGUUCGAACCCAGG